rnacentral:rRNA from 1 species
UACGUAGGCAGCAAGCGUUGUUCGGAGUUACUGGGCGUAAAGGGUGCGUAGGCGGCUUCUUAAGUCUGGUGUGAAAUCUCCCGGCUCAACUGGGAGGGUGCGCCGGAUACUGAGGGGCUAGAGUGUGGGAGAGGAAAGUGGAAUUCCUGGUGUAGCGGUGAAAUGCGUAGAUAUUAGGAGGAACACCGGUGGUGUAAACGGCUUUCUGGACCAUAACUGACGCUGAGGCACGAAAGCGUGGGUAGCAAGCAGG